rnacentral:tRNA from 3 species
CGCGGGGUGGAGCAGCUUGGUAGCUCGUCGGGCUCAUAACCCGAAGGUCGUCGGUUCAAAUCCGGCCCCCCGCAACCA